ensembl:lncRNA
AUUUGUCAAUGUGUUGCUAUGCAGUUGUCAAAAGGUUUGUUAUGUGGUUGUCAGGGUGUUGCUGUGUGGUUGUCAAAGAGAUGCUAUGCGGUUUUCAAGGUGUUUCUAUGCUGUUGUCAGGGUGUUGCAAUGCUGUUGUCAAGGUGAUGCUGUGCAGUUGUCAGGGUGUUGCAAUGCUGUUGUCAAGGUAUUGCUGUGCGGUUGUCAGGGUGUUGCGAUUCUGUUGUCAGGGUGUUGCUAUCCGGUUGUCAAGGUGUUGCUGUGCUGUUCUCAGGAUGUUACUUUUUCGGGUGUCAAGGUGUUGCUGUGCGGUCAUCAGGGUGUUGCGAUGCUGUUGUCAAGGUGUUGCUGUGCAGUUGUCAGGGUAUUGCGAUGCUGUUGUCAAGGUGUUGCUGUGCGGUCAUUAGGGUGUUGCAAUGCUGUUGUCAAGGUGUUGCUGUGCGGUUGUUAGGGUGUUGCGAUGCUGUUGUCAAGGUGUUGCGAUGCAGUUGUUAUGGUGUUGCGAUACUGUUGUCAAGGUGUUGCUGUGCGGUUGUUAGGGUGUUGCGAUGCUGUUGUCAAG